AAACUAACAAGGAUUCCCCUAGUAGCGGCGAGCGAAGCGGGAAAAGCUCAAAUUUGUAAUCUGGCGUCUUCGACGUCCGAGUUGUAAUCUCGAGAAGUGUUUUCCGUGAUAGACCGCAUACAAGUCUCUUGGAACAGAGCGUUAUAGUGGUGAGAACCCAGUACACGAUGCGGAUGCCUAUUACUUUGUGAUACACUUUCGAAGAGUCGAGUUGUUUGGGAAUGCAGCUCAAAUUGGGUGGUAAAUUCCAUCUAAAGCUAAAUAUUGGCGAGAGACCGAUAGCGAACAAGUACCGUGAGGGAAAGAUGAAAAGCACUUUGGAAAGAGAGUUAACAGUACGUGAAAUUGUUGGAAGGGAAACACAUGCAGUGAUACUUGCUAUUCGGGGCAACUCGAUUGGCAGGCCCGCAUCAGUUUUCCGGGGCGGAAAAGCAUAGAGAGAAGGUAGCAGUUUCGGCUGUGUUAUAGCUCUUUAUUGGAUUCGCCCUGGGGGAUUGAGGAACGCAGCGUGCUUUUUGCAUGAGCUUCGGCUUAUCCACGCUUAGGAUGCGGGUUUAUGGCUGUAUAUGACCCGUCUUGAAACACGGACCAAGGAGUCUAACAUGCUUGCGAGUAUUUGGGUGUCAAACCCGGAUGCGCAAUGAAAGUGAAUGGAGGUGGGAAGCGCAAGCUGCACCAUCGACCGAUCUGGAUUUUUUAAGAUGGAUUUGAGUAAGAGCAAGUAUGUUGGGACCCGAAAGAUGGUGAACUAUGCCUGAAUAGGGCGAAGCCCGAGGAAACUCUGGUGGAGGCUCGUAGCGGUUCUGACGUGCAAAUCGAUC
rnacentral:rRNA from 1 species